GUGCUUGCUUUGGCUGCACAUAUACUAAAAUUGGAAUGAUACAGACAAGAUUAACAUGGUCCCUGCACAAGGAUGACAUGCAGAUUCAUGAAGAAUUCCAUAUUUUU
rnacentral:snRNA from 1 species